rnacentral:lncRNA from 1 species
CUCCUUAGAGCUCGCAGCCUUUGAAAGGCAUCAGAGUAGUACCAUGAGCCUUCUGUAGCAAGUUGCCUGGGAACAAAAGGAGAAACAGCAGAUACAGGUAUGAGAGGCAACAACUGAAGCAGUCUGGGUAGUGAGCAGACGAUAGAGCUGCUGAAGCAGGAGCAGCUUUUUGGGAGGUGAAAUUCAAAUUGCCAAUGUAGUCUCAUAAAGAUGCAGCAAAUCUGGGCUGGAAAGAUGGCUCAGUGGUUAAGAGCACUGACUGCUCUUCCAGAGGUCCCGAGUUCAAUUCCCAGCAACCACAUGGUGGCUCACAGCCAUCUGUCAAAGGAUCCGAUGCCCUCUUCUGGUGAGUCUGAAGACAGCUACAGUGUAGUCACAUACAUUAAAUCAAUCAACC